rnacentral:rRNA from 1 species
GACGAACGCUGGCGGCGUGCUUAACACAUGCAAGUCGAACGGUAAGGCCCUUCGGGGUACACGAGUGGUGAACGGGUGAGUAACACGUGGGUGAUCUGCCCUGCACUUCGGGAUAAGCCUGGGAAACUGGGGCUAAUACCGGAUAGGACUCCGGACUGCAUGGUCUGGGGUGGAAAGCUUUUGCGGUGUGGGAUGGGCCCGCGGCCUAUCAGCUUGUGGGUGGGGUGAUGGCCUACCAAGGCGACGACGGGUAGCCGGCCUGAGAGGGUGACCGGCCACACUGGGACUGAGAUACGGCCCAGACUCCUACGGGAGGCAGCAGUGGGGAAUAUUGCACAAUGGGCGCAAGCCUGAUGCAGCGACGCCGCGUGAGGGAUGACGGCCUUCGGGUUGUAAACCUCUUUCAGCAUCGACGAAGCGAAAGUGACGGUAGGUGCAGAAGAAGGACCGGCCAACUACGUGCCAGCCGCCGCGGUAA